rnacentral:ribozyme from 2 species
UCCAUAACUCCGCCUGUAGCUCUUUGAGAGUCACUGCCGGUCCCAAGCCCAGAUAAAGGAGAAGGGUUGGG